AGAUCGCUAGGGUAAGGAGCUAAGUGGAGGGAGCUGGAGCCAGAAGGGGAUGGGGAGACACACCCUGCAGCCUGGUCUUGAAGAUGAUGCACACUUUUGUGUGGGUAUGUUUGUGUGUGCAUGCACAUUCCUGUGUCAGAGGUCAACACUGUGACUCCCUUGAUAGCUUUCUGCCUUAUUGUUUGAGACAGGAUCUCUCACUGAUCGUGGAGCUUACCAUUUUGGAUAGACUGGCUAGCAAGUCCCCAGGACCCUCUUGUCUCCUCCUCACCAGAGUUGGGAUUACAGACCUUUGCCACGCAUUGGAGACGCCAUCACUAGAGCAAUUAGGGAAGCACAGACAAUGAGAAUAAAGUGCUAGGAUUUGCACUCUACCUGUGUGCAAGGAGAAACAAUGGAGGAGCAAUCCAAGAAUUUUUUUUCCGUGUUAACGGAGCCCUCCAGCCGCACACUACAACAGGAAGUUGAGGCUAAGACUGCGGGGGAGGUCCUGCCCAAAUUCUGACCCGGAGGAUCAAAGCAAUAAAUGGCGAUGGCUUGCGCACGGCCAGGAGACUCGAACCCGCGAUGCACAGUGGUGUUCCCGAGCCCACUCAUUUGUGGUGCAGCAAGGCUGACAGAGGUGGAUUUAGACUUCCAAACUCAGCCUCCACAUGUACCGAACACGACCUUCAGGCCUCCCGGACGCGAACCACCAUGCUGCUGGGACACUGAGCCGGGUGCACGCAAGUGGAGCCCGACAGCCUUUAGUGAAAGUGACUGACAGCCUGGGCGACAGCGAGGCUGUGGGG